GCGUCGGGGCGCCCUGCGGCGGAUGUGGAAGAGCCACCUCUGAAGGGUCAAUUCAGUACAGCCUGGCGCCAACACAGACGGACAUCAACAGCAAUUCCAACACAAUAUUAUUUAACCCAGUAGAAGACUUAACCUCCUUCCACAAACCUCACUAUAAUUACAUCAUGAGCUUCACUACCACAAGUUAUUCAGAAGAAGAUGAAUAUGGAGAGGACAAGACUGUCACUGACUGUUUAAAAUGGCACCUGGAGGACAUAACAGAAAAGAAUGACUCUGUACUUGCCUUUUUCAUUAAUAUAUUUUGUUAAAUUAGCUGUUAGUGAUAGACUACUAGGCUAGACGGAUCUUUGGUCUGAGUGAGGGUGGCUCAUAUUGUGUGUGUGCUUACAAAUCAUCUACUGUCAAAUAUCUAUCCCUUGGAUAAGUUUUUCAUCAAGUCACUGUUUUGUUAUAUCUUGGUUAAUUUGAAAAAAAAAAAAAAAAAUAGAGCCAGACGUAUGUUUCACCCUUAUUAACAGGGAAAAGGAAAUCUAUGGGAUUUUAAGGUUAGCAUCUGAAAAUGGAGGGCACAAGUCCCUGUGUAAACAUGCAUUUGCCACAAACAUUCUUUUGGACCAAAAAUAAAUCAACAGUCAGAAAAACUAGACUCUUGAGUCUGGUCAGAGCAGGUGUCCAAAUGAAUGUUCCACUAGUACUGUUUGGCAACAUAAACCAAUUUUUAAUUAGGCAUUAUUUUAUGUGGGCAACGUGUCUAAAAUACAAGAUAUAUACUGCCUGAGUACUGCAUUAUCUUCCUGUUAUUCAUGUUAACUCAUUCUUGUCAUUCACUAUUCUACAUUUGACUGCUAAAACCAGUGUUUGCUAUACAUAUUCAGAUUUCUGUAGGACCACAGGAAUAAAGCAGAGCUUAGAAUAUUU